rnacentral:rRNA from 1 species
GAGUCGAAUGUAGCAAUACAUGGCGAACUGCUCAGUAACACGUGGACAACCUGCCCUUAGGUUGGGUAUAAAACCCGGGAAACUGGGUAUAAUACCCGAUAGGUCUCGAUUGCUGGAAUGCAUCGAGAUUUAAAGCUCCGGCGCCUAAGGAUGGGUCUGCGGCCUAUCAGGUAGUAGUGGGUGUAGCGUACCUACUAGCCUACGACGGGUACGGGUUGUGAGAGCAAGAGCCCGGAGAUGGAUUCUGAGACACGAAUCCAGGCCCUACGGGGUGCAGCAGGCGCGAAAACUUUACAAUGCUGGCAACAGCGAUAAGGGAACCUCGAGUGCCAGGUUACAAAUCUGGCUGUCGAGAUGCCUAAAAAGCAUUUCAUAGCAAGGGCCGGGCAAGACCGGUGCCAGCCGCCGCGGUAACACCGGCGGCUCGAGUGGUAACCGUUAUUAUUGGGUCUAAAGGGUCUGUAGCCGGCCGGAUAAGUCUCUUGAGAAAUCUGGCAGCUUAACUGUCAGGCUUUCAGGAGAUACUGUCUGGCUCGAGGCCGGGAGAGGUGAGAGGUACUUCAGGGGUAGGGGUGAAAUCUUGUAAUCCUCGAAGGACCACCAGUGGCGAAGGCGUCUCACCAGAACGGACCUGACGGCAAGGGACGAAAGCUAGGGGCACGAACCGGAUUAGAUACCCGGGUAGUCCUAGCCGUAAACGAUACUCGCUAGGUGUCGGCCACGGUGCGACCGUUGUCGGUGCCGUAGGGAAGCCGUGAAGCGAGCCACCUGGGAAGUACGGCCGCAAGGCUGAAACUUAAAGGAAUUGGCGGGGGAGCACCACAACGGGUGGAGCUUGCGGUUUAAUUGGAUUCAACGCCGGA